CAAAAACAUCGCCUCUUGCAUCAUAAUAAGAGGUCAAGCCUGCCCAGUGAUCAUUUCAACGGCCGCGGUAUCCUGACCGUGCGAAGGUAGCAUAAUCAUUUGUUCUUUAAAUGGGGACUAGCAUGAAUGGCAUCACGAGGGUUAUACUGUCUCCUUACUCCAAUCAAUAAAACUAAUCUUCCCGUGAAGAAGCGGGAAUGCACAUAUAAGACGAGAAGACCCUAUGGAGCUUCAAACUACUUGCACUAGCUUACACAUUAAUACGUCCCCGGACGAUAAUACUAAAUUUAGCUUCAUGACUGCUAGUUUUAGGUUGGGGUGACCACGGAGAACAAAACAACCCCCGUAUUGAAAAGAAUAAUUUCCUGAGCAAAAAGCUACAACUUUAAGCACUAACAAAUUAACAUCAAUUGACCCAAUACUUUGAUCAACGAACCAAGUUACCCUAGGGAUAACAGCGCAAUCCGCUUCAAGAGCCCCUAUCGACAAGCGGGUUUACGACCUCGAUGUUGGAUCAGGGUAUCCCAGUGGUGCAGCCGC
rnacentral:rRNA from 1 species